AAAAAAAAAAAAAAAAACCCAAUUUCUAUCAAAUCGUUUCAUUUUUUUCAAUAAUGGCUCUAUUCUCUCGUCUCCGAAUUCACCCUCUAAUCAGAAACAGGCGCUACUUCUCGACAAUCCUCUCUCCAGGUUCCACCACCCCUCUCUCGUCCAAGGAGAAAACCAGAGCCGCGCUUUCUCUUCUAAAAUCGGAAGAAAACCCAGAAAAGAUCGUUGAAAUCUGCCGUGCAGCUUCUCUGACCCCUGAAUCUCACUUGGACCGGAUAGCCUUCUCCGUCGCCAUCUCCAAGCUUUCCAAAUCCAAUCAUUUCUCCUACAUCCAGCAGUUUCUCGACGAUCUCCGCUCUUCCCGCGCUGACCUUAGGUCCUCCGAACGAUUCGCCGGCCACGCCAUCGUGCUUUUUGGCCAGGCCAACAUGAUGGACCACGCUAUCCGCACCUUCCAGGAAUAUCACGCCGAUGUUGUUGGUUCUGGUACUGGGUCUGUUAAGGCUCUGAAUGCUCUGCUUUUCGCUUGUAUUUUGGCUAAGGAUUAUAGGGAGGUGAAGCGGAUUUUUCUCGAGUUCCCUAAGAUUUAUAGUAUUGAGCCGAAUUUGGAUACUUAUAAUACGGUUAUCAAGGCAUUUUGUGAGUCUGGGAGUUCCAGUUCGGGUUAUUCGGUUAUAGCAGAGAUGGAUAGGAAGGUGGUGAAGCCAAAUGCGACCACUUUUGGGAAUUUGCUUGCUGGGUUUUAUAAAGAGGAAAAGUUUGAAGAUGCAGCUAAAGUAUUGGAAAUGAUGAAGAAACAUGGGAUUCGACAAGGGGUAAGUACUUAUAAUAUUAGGAUCCAGAGUUUGUGUAAGCUAAAGAGAUCUGUAGAGGCAAAAGCUUUACUUUAUGGGAUGUUGUCUAGGAAAAUGAAGCCAAAUUCUGUUACUUAUUGUAAUUUGAUUCAUGGUUUUUGUAACGAAGAGAAUUUAGAGGAAGCAAAGAGGCUGUUUAACAGUAUGAUUAAUGGAGGGGGAAAACCAGAUGCUGAUUGUUAUUUCACGCUUAUGCACUACUUGUGUCGAGGUGGGGAUUUGGAUACUGCUUUGAGGAUUUGUAAGGAAAGCAUUGAGAAGGGAUGGGUUCCAAAUUUUGGGACUAUGAAGUCACUGGUGAACGGGCUUUCUCGUGUUGGGAAGGUGGCAGAGGCAAAGGAGCUUGUUGGGCAAAUGAAGGAGAGAUUUACGAAGAAUGUUAAUAUGUGGGAUGAGAUUGAAGCCAGUUUGUCGCAGUAGGGGUGGGGACAUUUAAACUUCGUUUUGUUUUGAUAAGACCAUCAAGGUAAGACUCUGUGAGAAUGUCAUAUUUGCACAAUUAAGAGGAAAUAAGAAUUUUGCAUUAACUUAAUGAGUUAUUGGACGUGUUCAUCAUUGAAUGAAAAUGUUGCUGGUUUUCAUUUUCAUGGUGUUGAUUAUAUUAGAGGUUCAAAGCUCAUUAAAUCAUAUGGCUUUGCAGUCAAAUUAUAGAAAAGAAUCAAUAUUUAAACUUGUUUUGCAGUACUCUUUUGUUAUGAGACUAGUGGUAAUAAAUUGCUAGGUCAUCGGUAACUAGGCGCAUGCCCAAUUAGCUAUGGUUGAUAGUUCGUGAAUUUCUGGGCUCCUGAUUAAGAAAUAAGCUUUGACUGCCUGUGGAUUACUGGUUAGUACUACAAGCCAUUGCAUUUUGGUUCUGGGGGAGCAGUGGAAUGGAAGUUGAUUAUCUUGAUUGGCUCGGAAUUAUGAUUAUUUUGCUCAAACGAGCACAUCCUUUGUUUAGAAAUUUUAUCAAGAUUAAAAUUCAACUACAUCUAGCAACUAGAAAGUUAGCAAUAAUGGUGAUUUAACUCAGUGACUAUAGGAAAAUGAAGUCAUUGUAGAGGCUGCAACUAUUAACGUGUUGGUCUUGAAUUCGUAGAAAGGCAAAUAUCUUGUUGGGGAAUGAGCUGUAGUUAUGUAUUAAACAGGCAUAUCUAAUAUCUAUGUAUCUGUAUCUAUAUAAUAUAAUAUAAUAAAACUAGUCUCUAAAAUAAAUUUACUGCACUGUAUUAGAUUUUUUUUUAUUUG
rnacentral:misc_RNA from 1 species